rnacentral:rRNA from 1 species
UACGUAGGGUGCAAGCGUUAAUCGGAAUUACUGGGCGUAAAGCGUGCGCAGGCGGUGAUGUAAGACAGAUGUGAAAUCCCCGGGCUCAACCUGGGAACUGCAUUUGUGACUGCAUCGCUGGAGUGCGGCAGAGGGGGAUGGAAUUCCGCGUGUAGCAGUGAAAUGCGUAGAUAUGCGGAGGAACACCGAUGGCGAAGGCAAUCCCCUGGGCCUGCACUGACGCUCAUGCACGAAAGCGUGGGG